rnacentral:rRNA from 1 species
AGGACGAACGCUGGCGGCGUGCUUAACACAUGCAAGUCACGGGGGUCCCGGGGGCAACUCUGGGAUAACCGGCGAACGGGUGCGUAACACGUGAGCAACCUGCCUUUGUGUGGGGGAUAGCCGGGCUAACGCCCGGGUAAUACCGCAUACGGUCAUUUGGGGGAGUCCCCGAAUGAAGAAACCUCCGGGGCACAGAGAGGGGCUCGCGGCCUAUCAGCUUGUUGGCGGGGUAAUGGCCCACCAAGGCGACGACGGGUAGCUGGUCUGAGAGGAUGGCCAGCCACAUUGGGACUGAGAGACGGCCCAGACUCCUACGGGAGCAGCAGGUGGGAAUCUGCGCAAUGGCCGAAAGGCUGACGCAGCGACGCCGCGUGUGGGAGGACGCCGUUUCGGGUGUAAACCGACUGUUGCCCGGGACGAACGAGCCUGGUUUGCCGAGGCGUGACGGUACCGGUGAGGAAGCGACCGGCUAACGUCCGUGCCAGCAGCCGAC